rnacentral:snRNA from 1 species
GGAUGUGAGGGCGAUCUGGCUGCGACAUCUGUCACCCCAUUGAUCGCCAGGGUUGAUUCGGCUGACCUGGCUGGCUAGGCGGGUGUCCCCCUCCUCCCUCACCGAUCCAUGUGCGUCCCUCCCGAAGCUGCGCACUCGGUCAAAGAGAAGGACCUUCCCCACCUCCACCGCCCCCGACCCCCAGGAGAGGACCGGUCUUCGGUCAAGGAAGGGUAUACGAGUAGCUGCGCUACCCUGCUAGAACCUCCAAACAAGCUCUCAAGAGGCCCCCUCAAAAUAUAUAAGUUCAAGUCACAAAAAUGUUGAUCUGUCCCUAGUUG